CAAAGAACCAGUCAGUAGAAUCUGCUUCAAAAUUAUAAAAAAAGGAGGGAGAGAGGAAAGGAGGAAAGAAUAAAACCCUUUUUCUUCUAUGACUCUUACUGUUUUACUGUUACACUUAGAUUCUCAAUCCAACUUGAAUUUAUUUUGUUUAUGGUGAUGGGGUAAGGAUCUGACUUUAUUUUUUUCAAGUGGGUAUCUAGUUGUUUCUGUACCAUUUAUUAAAUAAUAAAUAAUCUGUUAUUUUCAACUGAUUGUUGCCAACUUUUCAUAUGUUAAGUUUGAAUUCUGCAAUCUUUGUUCUUUUCCACUGGUUUAUUUGUGUAAAUCCUGAAGUACCAAGAGUUGUUUUUUUUUUUUUAAAUACCCUUUUUUUUCUAUUUGAGAAUAAUCUUUUUUUUUUUUUCUCAGAUGUUUAGAAGCAGCUUGUCAGCUUUUAUUUUGUUUUGCUUUUUAAUCCUUUUGGCUGUUUAAGUGGGAUUCCAAAAAGUUAUGUGUUUAGAGAGAAGUAGAAACUGGCAAGGAACUGUCGUAUAGCACAGAGAAAUCUACUCAAUAUUUUGUAAUAAACCAAUAUGGGGAAAAGAUUGGAUAUAAGUAUAUGCAUAACUGAUUCACUUUGUUGUACAUCUGAAACUAAUACAGCAUUGUAAGUUAACUGUACUCUGAUGAAAUUUUAAAAAGAAGUGAUAUCUUUACAAUAUUGAAUGUUCCCUUUUAGUGAUACAGUAUUUCUCUCUGGUUGUUUUCCUUUUAUGCCAUAUUGUUUUCUCUCUCUAGAACUGGCAGAUUCCUUUUUAUUUCUAUAUUUUUCAUAGCUAUUGUUGAUACUAUAAAUUUGAUCCUUUUGCCAUGUCACUUCCUGAUGUUUAUUACUGGAUAGAUAGAAAUGUUAUUGUUGUCUGUUCAUUUACCUCACAUCAGCCAUCUUCCUAAUUCUGUUUUCACUUGAUUCUCUUGAAUUUUCUACAAAAACAAUCAUAUCACCUACUUAGGCUAAUUUUGUCGUUUCCCUAUUGCCUAUGUGCUGUAUCCACUGCAGUGCUUUUGUAAUUAGAGUUUUAUUGGUAUUAUCCAUGCUUGCUUGUUUACUCUUGUCUGUAGCAACUUUUCCCUACAGUAGCCAACUGGAGUAGUUGUGGCAGAGACGAUAUGACCUGCAAAGCCUAAAAUUAGCUGGCUCUUUAUAACAAAAGUUUGCCAGAUCCUGCCACAGAGUAUCUAUAAAUUAGAGAUUUUUUUUCUGGACUUUUAUUGUCUAAGUCCCCCUGAACAAACUUAAAUAGUAGCAGUAAUGAUGAGACUCUGACUUUGUCUGACUUUAAUAGGGAGACUGUCUCUGUUUUUCUAGUAGAAUAAUGGUUUCCUUUGGGAAAGAACCAACCAUUUCAGCCUUACUAAGAGGGAAUGCCUAUACAUGGAGAUGAACAUAUGGCCUAUCAUUUAAUAUUUUAAUUUAAUAAAUCACUGUAAUUUAUUUCUAAAAUUUUGUGAUUUUCUUUUUUUUUUUUUUUUUUUUUUUUGGCUGUGCCUGUGGCAUGUGGAAGUUCCCAGGCCAGGGAUCAAACCCAAGCCACAGCAGUGACCAGAGCCACUGCAAUGACAAUCCCAGAUCCUUAACCCUGCUGUGCCAUAGAGAACCCCCUAUUUGUGAUUUUAUAUCUAUAUUUGUAAGUAAUGUUGGUUUGUUGCUUUCUUAUUUUCUGACUGCUUUUAAAAUAGCAACUAUUGAUGUUGCUAUGUCAUCAUAAAUCUCCCUGAAGACAUCAAUUGGAAUUAAAAAAAAAAAACCUAUCUUCUACUCUUUUCAUUAACUUUGUUUCUUCAGGGAUCAUUAUUCUGGUUUUUAGUCUUGAUGCUCUCAUGUUCAUGUUUUUCCCUAUGGAGGAAGUUCAUGGGUUUGGUUAUUGAUUCUUAAUUUUAAUUGAAAGACUAGAAUAACAUAAGAAGGUGGUAUGAAUUUACCUGGCAGCUAAAUAAGCUGCUUUCUUGACUAGGAGGCUGACUGUAGGGUUCUGUAGAUAGACAUGGGGAUUGACAGACAGGCAGCUUUCCCCUUUGGACGAUGAUCAGACUGCUGAGUUUCAGCUCUCCUUUGACUGUUUGCUGAGGCCAGCAACACUUUGUGCUGGGGGUAGAGCUCCUGAGAGUUCUCAGUGCAUUGCACUGGAUGCGGACAUUUCUCUUCCCACCUCCUUCUAAUGGACGGAUAGAUAGAUGGAAGAUAGAUGGAGGGAAGGCAAGAAGGAGGGUUAGUUGGCUGGUUGAACUGGGGUCUGCAUGUCUCUUAUGGGGUCCCAAACUUUGUGAGCACUGCUCUACUUGGGUUUUGUUUGUUUGUUUUGUUUGCUCAAGUCCCAUCUUAGGAACCUGUGAGACACUCCUCCAGAGUUACAUAAGGCAAGGGUUUUUGCUGAUUUUAGACCCAAGGCAGUUGUGGUUUCUCAUUGUUCCUUGUGACAGAGAAGUUGAAUAGCCCAUAGUGUCAGUCCUUUGAAUAAUUACUCCUCCAAUUGGUUGCCCAUGGAUUCCCAUCCUUGCUGGCCCUGAGUGUGGAUCUUUUCCUGGGCUCUGUGUUUGACAGCCAUCCUCCAGACCCAGAGGGACCACUCCUUUCCCUAGCUCUAGUGAUUCUCUAUACAAUCUCUCUCCUUAACAUUUUCCAUAAAUUCCUCAAAGUUUUUGGCCUGGUAAUACCAUCUUUCCUUGCUUUCCAGGUUGAUAUGGAGUCAUUUCACUGGAAUUUUAGGAAAGGGUAUAUAAUCAUUGCUCAAUAACCACAGUUAUCAGUGCAUUUAAAAUAUUCCUUCCUGGAAAUUCCCGUCAUGGCUCAGCAGAAACGAAUCUGACUAGUAAUUAUGAGGAUACAGGUUUGAUCCCUGGCUUCGCCGCUUGGUGGGUUAAGGAUCUGGUGUUGCCUUGAGCUGUGGUAUAGGUCGAAGACAUGGCUCGGGUGUGGUGUUGCUGCGCCUGUGGCGUAGGCCGGCAGCUACAACUCCGAUUUGACCCCUAGCCUGGGAACUUCCAUGUGCCA
rnacentral:lncRNA from 1 species